AGAUUAAUUUUGAAUUUUUUGAGGAGUAAAUAGUUUUCUUGCCUUUGUCUUUUGCUCUGGCUUGCACAAUAUUUUCCUUUGACCAACUUUUCUAAGCCAAAAUCACAAGACUAGGAAAAUAACAAUUGGAGUUUAUGUGUCACCGCUUUUGUUUGUCAGUAUAUUGUCUCCAUUUCCAAUUGUAUUAUUUUUCUUAAUGUAUAAGUUGUUAUAUAGAAUUCUUGCAUUACAUGUAUCAUUUUCCUUAAGUCUGCAGUCUCAUUUUUCUUUUUAUUAUUAAUGCAGAUACCUGAGUUCCAGAAGGACAUUGUUGUCUCAUACUACUGUUAUAGUGGUGGUGGGAGCUUAGGCCGAUUAAUACUUGGUUUGGUCAUGCAGGGACGGUGACACCAUUGGACCAUGAUCCACACCAUAAUAUACUGGCUCAGAAGGAAUUGGGUGUUCUAUGGGAUGUUGAUUUGUACGGAGAGUUGCUCAAAAUUGGCGGUGGCAAAGAAAGGUACGCAGUUUGUUUUCAUUAUCAUUUACUUGAUAUUAUAUCUUAGGUAUUUUGGUGAUUGUUUGAUAAUUGAGGAUGACCGCUUAUUUUAACAAGACAAAGUGGCCAGAAAAGGCUCUAAAGGGUGAAGAAGAACGGAAGGAUUUUAUUGCUUCACUUCACAAGUGAAAGACAGAGCUGUUUAUGGUCCUUAUUGAGAAGAAGUUGCUGCCUCUACGGUUUGGUGUUGCAAAAUUAAUUGAUCAGGCAUUUGCAGAAGGAGUGAAAGUUGCUAUUUGCAGUACUUCUAAUGAGAAGGCGGUAUGCUUCAUCAGGUUCUUAACUUUUGAUGUGUAAUAGCCUAAUAGGUUUUGUAUUUCUUACUUCUUAUAAAAGGAAGAAAUGACCCUUACGAAGCUAAUAUAAAAUCUUGGAAAAGAUGGAAAAUGAAAUCAUGUUAUAGAUAAAUUAUAUUGCUUUACUUAUGCUGGUUCUGAAGUUCCACUCGGAACUCCAACUCCCACCAACUUCCCAUGGCAGAUACCAAACCAUUCUACUCAUCAGGGUAAAUCGAUAUUAAUGUUUUCCGAAAAUGAUAUUUACUUAUACUGUUAUUAUUUUGUAUGUUCAAAAUAAUGCUCAUGAUUUUCCAAUUCUUAUUUAUACUUUUAGGCAUUUUAAUUUGAUAUCUACAAUCAAUGUAAAUUAUCGACUUUGAAUCUUACAAUGUAGGUUCCAAAAUAAUAUUUGGUGCUUGGACUCCAGCCAGACAUCCAAGUCAUGGAGUAAAGAAUUCAAUUCAAGCACCAGGUAUUUAGCUUCUCAGAUGCUGAAGCUAUCGAAAUGUCUGUUUUAUAUGUGUUGGAGUCGUCAUUGCAGAAAAAGGAGUGUCAAUAUUCUUUUUUUUGAAUAAUAAUUUCCUGCAAUA